AAAAAAAAGGGGGAGAACACAAAAAAACAACAACAGAAAGGAGGCGGAGGGGUUUUUUUCUUUGGAUCCAAAAUAAACUAUUUUUUUCAUAACACCUUCCUCUAUUUCCUCCAUCCAACAGCCCUACAGCCGGUGCAACCUCAACAUACCUCCAUUCAACCUGAGACCAACUGUUCCCUCACUUCCUAUUCACCGGAGCCAAACAACUUCAUCUUCAACAUACCGCCAUCACACCCUGUUUAUCUCUUCCUCUCGCCUGCUACCUCCUUCCAAAACAACAACUCCAUCUAA